rnacentral:rRNA from 1 species
GAAGAAAAAGAAAAACGAGAAAGAGAGGAAAAGGAAAGACAAAAUAGAGAAAAGAGCGUGAACGAGAAAGGGAAGAAAAAGAGAAAAAGAAAAAAGAAGACGAAGAAAAGAGAGCUAAAGAAAAAGCAGAAAGGGAAGAGAAAGAAAAAAGGAAAAAGAAGAAAAAGAAAGACAAAGAGAAGAAGCGAAAAGAAAAGAAGAAGAGAUACGAAAAGAAAAAGAAGAGAAAGAAAAAGAAGAAAAGCGUAUAGCAGAAGAAGAACGACAGAAACGCGAAGCUGAGCGCAAGAAAAAAGAAGAAGAAGAGGCAUGCGAAUUGGCUGAAAGGAAGAAAAAGCAAGAGGAAGAGAGAAAAGCCAAAGAAGAAGAAGAAGAGAAACAAAGAGAAAAAGAAAGACA